GGGUGAAAGUGGAUUUUUGCCUUUGGCAACUGUAUUUGUGACACAAAAAGGAUGUGGUACACAACAAAAAGGAGCAAAGGAAAAGAAACUCA